UUCGGGAGUGGUGGCACGCAUCUGUAAUCCCAGAUACUUUGGGAGGCUGAGGUGGAAGAAUCGCUUGAGACCAGGACUCUGGUCUGUAGUGCUCUAAGUCGGCAUCAACACGGUGACCUCCUGGGAGGAGGGGCCACCAGGUUGCCUAGGGAGGGGUGAACCUGCCCAGGUCGGAAGUAGAGCAGGCCAAAACUCACAUGCUGCUCAGUAGUGGGAUCUCGCCAGUAAAUAGCCACUGCACUGCAGCCUGGGCGAGACAGUGAGACCCUGUCGCCU
rnacentral:SRP_RNA from 1 species